rnacentral:rRNA from 1 species
UGGGGAAUUUUGGACAAUGGGCGAAAGCCUGAUCCAGCAAUGCCGCGUGUGUGAAGAAGGCCUUCGGGUUGUAAAGCACUUUUGUCCGGAAAGAAAUCCUUGGCUCUAAGUACAGUCGGGGGAUGACGGUACCGGAAGAAUAAGCACCGGCUAACUACGUGCCAGCAGCCGCGGUAAUACGUAGGGUGCAAGCGUUAAUCGGAAUUACUGGGCGUAAAGCGUGCGCAGGCGGUUUGCUAAGACCGAUGUGAAAUCCCCGGGCUCAACCUGGGAACUGCAUUGGUGACUGGCAGGCUAGAGUAUGGCAGAGGGGGGUAGAAUUCCACGUGUAGCAGUGAAAUGCGUAGAGAUGUGGAGGAAUACCGAUGGCGAAGGCAGCCCCCUGGGCCAAUACUGACGCUCAUGCACGAAAGCGUGGGGAGCAAACAGGAUUAGAUACCCUGGUAGUCCACGCCCUAAACGAUGUCAACUAGUUGUUGGGGAUUCAUUUCCUUAGUAACGUAGCUAACGCGUGAAGUUGACCGCCUGGGGAGUACGGUCGCAAGAUUAAAACUCAAAUGAAUUGACGGGGUCAUAGCUG